UGAGCUGUUUGACGUUGAACUUGAAAGCUU
rnacentral:piRNA from 1 species